UGGGGAAUAUUGGACAAUGGGCGAAAGCCUGAUCCAGCCAUGCCGCGUGUGUGAAGAAGGUCUUCGGAUUGUAAAGCACUUUAAGUUGGGAGGAAGGGCAGUAAGCGAAUACCUUGCUGUUUUGACGUUACCGACAGAAUAAGCACCGGCUAACUCUGUGCCAGCAGCCGCGGUAAUACAGAGGGUGCAAGCGUUAAUCGGAAUUACUGGGCGUAAAGCGCGCGUAGGUGGUUCGUUAAGUUGAAUGUGAAAGCCCCGGGCUCAACCUGGGAACUGCAUCCAAAACUGGCGAGCUAGAGUAGGGCAGAGGGUGGUGGAAUUUCCUGUGUAGCGGUGAAAUGCGUAGAUAUAGGAAGGAACACCAGUGGAGAAGGCGACCACCUGGGCUCAUACUGACACUGAGGUGCGAAAGCGUGGGGAGCAAACAGG
rnacentral:rRNA from 1 species